GACGAACGCUGGCGGCGUGCUUAACACAUGCAAGUCGAACGGAAAGGCCCUGCUUUUUUGGGGUGCUCGAGUGGCGAACGGGUGAGUAACACGUGAGUAACCUGCCCUUGACUUUGGGAUAACUUCAGGAAACUGGGGCUAAUACCUGAUAGGAGCUCCUGCUGCAUGGUGGGGGGUGGAGAGUUUCGGCGGUUGGGGAUGGACUCGCGGCUUAUCAGCUUGUUGGUGGGGUAGUGGCUUACCAAGGCUUUGACGGGUAGCCGGCCUGAGAGGGUGACAGGCCACAUUGGGACUGAGAUACGGCCCAGACUGCUACGGGAGGCAGCAGUGGGGAACAUUGCACAAUGGGCGGCAGCCUGAUGCAGCAACGCCGCGUGCGGGAUGACGGCCUUCGGGUUGUAAACCGCUUUCGCCUGUGACGAAGAGUGAGUGACGGUAAUGGGUAAAGAAGCACCGGCUAACUACGUG
rnacentral:rRNA from 1 species